rnacentral:lncRNA from 1 species
UUCAGCACUCCUAACACAUCACCGUGUUUUAUAUUCUUCAGAGCACUAUUUAUCUAAAAUAAUCUCAGUAAUUGUGUAUUUACUUGCUUGCUGUCUCUUUUCACUAAAAUAUCAUCUACAGGUGACCAGGGACCUUUGCCUAUUUCAUUCACCAGUGCUUCACAGCCUACAAUUAUUAUUGACAGAAAAUAGGCCCUCAUUAAACUUUCACAGAAAAAAAAAACUAAAAGAAAGAAUGAAUGAAUAUAGAUGAUUUGACUGAAACAUAUGUGGGUCUCUGAGUUAAAUACUGAGGAAUCAUAAUUUAAUGAAAUGUUAUUUGUCAUUAAGGAGCUAUGCCAUGACAAUAAAGCAGCCCUCUGAGGAAGAAUGUUUAGGCAAAGGAACACAAUGAAGUACUCUGCCUCUGGCAAGUAGCCAAAUAUAGGGUGUAUGGAGACAAACUGAUCCAAUAAAUGAGAAAAAUAAAAGCACAUAGUAAAAAAGUAUGACAGUAUGAUAUUGUGGAAACCAAGUGAUAAAGAUGCUUUAUGGUGAAUAUUAGUGGGAUAGGAUAAAAAAUUAAAUUGCCAUUUACCAAUGAAUGCCAGAGAUAAUAAAAAAAAUGGGUCCUACUUAAAUGCUAACUUAUUAAUUCUACUUUUAGCCUUUCAGUUUUAUUCAAAAUAAGUAACAAGUUAAAAAAAUUACAGUAAAGCAUUCUUGCUUUUGGCCCCAAAUAUCCUUGAAAUGUUUUUUUAAGUGAUGUUUUAAAUAUAAAUUUGCAUGUGUUUUCAUAUCAAGUAUAUAUAGUAUAAUAAAUAUAUAAUAAUAAUAAUAGGAAAAAGUAUAGCAACAUGAACUACAUAUGAGCAGUUAAGUGGAAUUAUCUUUCUAUACAUUACAGCACAAUAUUUGGACUAUUAUAUAUGAUCUUUUUCCUCUGAAAUCAGUGGCCCUAUUUAGAAACAAAUGUAAUAUUAACGGUAGUUCAAUACCUGGAAAAGAUUAGCAAGAAGGAAAACAAUAUUUCUCUUGGAAGAAAAUUAUAAUUACAUUUUAAUUAAUUUCAUUUAAGUUUUAUUUUAGUGAAACUUAAUCUAUAACUUUUGGGGUAAUUAUGUCCUUAAUAGUUUAGUCUCCAAAAUCAUUUGGGUCUCACCUGUUGUAUCUUGAACAUCUUGGCUGUUAUAAUAUAUUCAAUGUGAGGCCAAAAAUGUUGAGUUUCUUUUGUUUUUAUUGCCAGAAUUAAAGCAAAAUAAGGAAUUUAUAAAGAAACUCUAUUGUUUUCUGAAGUCAUUUUCCUUUGUAAUUAGCAACAAUCAGAUUAAAUUGCAGUAACUUAUGCAAAUUUACAUGUCAUGUUUUCAGGACUAGAUCCUAUAAAUGUUUUUAACCACAGUAGCAGAAAAUUAGAUUAAUUAUGAACACAUUUAAUGGACCAUUAUUACUGAACCUUUGGCAUAAUUUAUAUGAUAUUGAAAAAAUUAUUUUAUUCUUAAAAAUAUCGAAUCAUUAAAUUUUAAGAAAUUUGUCUUUGACAAACCUGAGAAAAACAAGCAAUGGGGAAACGAUUCCCUAUUUAAUAAAUGGUGCUGGGAAAACUGGCUAGCCAUAUGUAGAAAGCUGAAACUGGAUCCCUUCCUUACACCUUAUAGAAAAAUCAAUUCAAGAUGGAUUAAAGACUUAAACGUUAGACCUAAAACCAUAAAAACCCUAGAAGAAAACCUAGGCAAUACCAUUCAGGACAUAGGCAUGGGCAAGGACUUCAUGUCUAAAACACCAAAAGCAAUGGCAACAAAAGACAAAAUUGACAAAUGGGAUCUAAUUAAACUAAAGAGCUUCUGCACAGCAAAAGAAACUACCAUCAGAGUGAACAGGCAACCUACAAAAUGGGAGAAAAUUUUCGCAACCUACUCAUCUGACAAAGGGCUAAUAUCCAGAAUCUACAAUGAACUCAAAACAAAUUUACAAGAAAAAAACAAACAACCCCAUCAAAAAGUGGGCGAAGGACAUGAACAGACACUUCUCAAAAGAAGACAUUUAUGCAGCCAAAAAACACAUGAAAAAAUGCUCAUCAUCACUGGCCAUCAGAGAAAUGCAAAUCAAAACCACAAUGAGAUACCAUCUCACACCAGUUAGAAUGGCAAUCAUUAAAAAGUCAGGAAACAACAGGUGCUGGAGAGGAUGUGGAGAAAUAGGAACACUUUUACACUGUUGGUGGGACUGUAAACUAGUUCAACCAUUGUGGAAGUCAGUGUGGCGAUUCCUCAGGGAUCUAGAACUAGAAAUACCAUUUGACCCAGCCAUCCCAUUACUGGGUAUAUACCCAAAGGACUAUAAAUCAUGCUGCUAUAAAGACACAUGCGCACGUAUGUUUAUUGCGGCAUUAUUCACAAUAGCAAAGACUUGGAACCAAUCCAAAUGUCCAACAAUGAUAGACUGGAUUAAGAAAAUGUGGCACAUAUACACCAUGGAAUACUAUGCAGCCAUAAAAAAUGAUGAGUUCAUGUCCUCUGUAGGGACAUGGAUGAAAUUGGAAAUCAUCAUUCUCAGUAAACUAUCGCAAGAACAAAAAACCAAACACCGCAUAUUCUCACUCAUAGGUGGGAAUUGAACAACGAGAUCACAUGGACACAGGAAGGGGAAUAUCACACUCUGGGGACUGUUGUGGGGUGGGGGAGGGGGAAGGGAUAGCAUUGGGAGUAUACGUAAUGCUAGAUGACGAGUUAGUGGGUGCAGUGCACCAGCAUGGCACAUGUAUACAUAUGUAACUAACCUGCACAAUGUGCACAUGUACCCUAAAACUUAAAGUAUAAUAAUAAAAGAAAAAAAAAACUUAAAAAAAAAAAAGAAAUUUGUCUUUGAAAAGUGUUACCCCACCAGAAAUUCUUAACGAAUUAUUUAAUAUUUAAACAUUAAAAUAUUUAGAAAUAAAAGGAAAUACAAUUUUGGGGAGGUGACCCUUUAAGAAUAAUGACACUAAAAUGAUCAAUUAUUUUAAAGAAUAUUUGUGAAUUUACUAUUUUUCUCUGCACAUAGCUUGAAUAUAUAAACAUAUAUUUAUAUGUGUGUAUUUUUCAUUAAAUUUUCUUAAUUUCUUAAGGGCAAAUAAAAUGCUAAUCAGUCAGCAUACAAAAUAAGGAAAUAAAUGGUGAUUCAAAUGCAUUUUAUUUCUAUGAAUAUUUUGAAAGACUUCUUAUCUAUUGUUUUAUUACUUAUUUUGAAGUAACCAUGGU